rnacentral:rRNA from 1 species
AGUGAACGCUGGCGGUAGGCCUAACACAUGCAAGUCGAACGGCAGCACAGUAAGAGCUUGCUCUUACGGGUGGCGAGUGGCGGACGGGUGAGGAAUACAUCGGAAUCUACUUUUUCGUGGGGGAUAACGUAGGGAAACUUACGCUAAUACCGCAUACGACCUACGGGUGAAAGCAGGGGAUCUUCGGACCUUGCGCGAUUGAAUGGGCCGAUGUCGGAUUAGCUGGUUGGCGGGGUAAAGGCCCACCAAGGCGACGAUCCGUAGCUGGUCUGAGAGGAUGAUCAGCCACACUGGAACUGAGACACGGUCCAGACUCCUACGGGAGGCAGCAGUGGGGAAUAUUGGACAAUGGGCGCAAGCCUGAUCCAGCCAUACCGCGUGGGUGAAGAAGGCCUUCGGGUUGUAAAGCCCUUUUGUUGGGAAAGAAAAGCAGCAGGUUAAUACCCCGCUGUUCUGACGGUACCCAAAGAAUAAGCACCGGCUAACUUCGUG